rnacentral:rRNA from 1 species
UACAGAGGUCUCAAGCGUUGUUCGGAUUCAUUGGGCGUAAAGGGUGCGUAGGCGGCGUGGUAAGUCGGAGUGUGAAAUCUCGGAGCUUAACUCCGAAACUGCAUUCGAUACUGCCGUGCUUGAGGACUGGAGAGGAGACGUGGAAUUUACGGUGUAGCGGUGAAAUGCGUAGAUAUCGUAAGGAAGACCAGUGGCGAAGGCGGAUCUCUGGGCCUUACCUGACGCUGAGGCGCGAAAGCUAGGGGAGCAAACGGG